rnacentral:rRNA from 1 species
AUUGAACGCUGGCGGCAGGCCUAACACAUGCAAGUCGAGCGAGCGGCGGACGCGUGAGUAAAGUAUGUGGGCUGUCCGAUAUAGGGGGAUAAAUCCAGGGAACGGUGGCUAAUACAGCGUACUAUCGGAUAACCCAUAUGGGAUUAGCUAGUAGGGGGGGUAAUGGCUCACCUAGGCGACGAUCCCUAGCUGGUCUGAGAGGAUGAUCAGCCACACUGGGACUGAGACACGGCCCAGACUCCUACGGAGGCAGCAGUGGGGAAUAUUGCACAAUGGGCGCAAGCCUGAUGCAGUCAUGCCGCGUGUAUGAAGAAGGCCCUAGGGUUGUAAAGUACUUUCAGUCGGGAGGCGUUACCGACAGAAGAAGCACCGGCUAACUCCGUGCCAGCAGCCGCGGUAAUAC